rnacentral:rRNA from 1 species
CACGUAGAUUACCAACCCUUUGGUGGGGGACAACCCAGGGAAACGUGGCGUAAUACCGCAUAUGGAUUACGAUUCAAAGCCUUCGGGCGCCAAAGGACGGGUCUGCGGCCCAUUAUUUAAUCCUAGUUGGUGGGGUAAAGGCCUACCAAGGGUACGAUGGGUAGCUGGUCUGAGAGGAUGAUCAGCCACACUGGAACUGAGACACGGUCCAGACUCCUACGGGAGGCAGCAGUGGGGAAUAUUGCGCAAUGGGCGAAAGCCUGACGCAGCCAUCCCGCGUGAGUGAUGAAGGCCCUCGGG